rnacentral:rRNA from 1 species
AGCGAACGCUGGCGGCAGGCCGAACACAUGCAAGGCGAACGAACUCUUCGGAGAUAGUGGCGGACGGGUGAGUAACACGUGGGAACGUUCCUUUAGGUUCGGAAUAACUCAGGGAAACUCAUGUUAAUAACGAAUGUGCCCUCCGGCGGGAAGAUUUAUCGCCGUUAGAGCGGCCCGCGUAUGAUUAGAUAGUUGGUGAGGUAACGGCUCACCAAGGCGACGAUCAGUAGCUGGUCAGAGAGGAUGGCCAGCUACACUAGGACUGAGACACGGCCCAGAAUCCUACGGGAGGCAGCAGUGGGGAAUCUUGCGCAAUGGGCGAAAGCCUGACGCAGCCAUGCCGCGUGAAUGAUGAAGGUCUUAGGAUUGUAAAAUUCUUUCACCGGGGACGAAAAGGACGGUACCCGGAGAAGAAGCCCCGGCUAACUUCGUGCCAGCCGCCGCAGUAA